rnacentral:lncRNA from 1 species
UGUUGUUGCCAAUAAGCAAUAUGGUGGUAUCCAGAUAGCUGUUGUUUGCAAAUGCCUCUGUUAUCCAAAGCUAAGAAAUGUUCCUUAGUUCAGAUGUGAAAUUUGGGGUUUUCGCUUCACAGUUUGUGGUGUAAAAAGUGUAUUUAUUUCACCUGUAGCUGGUGCUUCUUAUAGUGAAAUGUACGUGGAAUAGACAAGAAAAGAAGCUGUCAGAGGGGGGAAAAGAAAAAGCUUUUUAAGGCAGAGACUUGGCAAAUUUUGGAAAUAGCCUUGUGGAAUCUGUAAGCAAGAAGGAUGGGUAGCUGAUUUCUGUGAGGUCAAAUCUAUGUCAAACAGCUACAAAACUAGUAUUGAUAAGAACUCUGGAUAUUAUCUCAAGGAAAACAAACUGGAAAAAUAUAAGUCACGCAGUACUAACACCUUGUGCAGUCCUCUUGGAUUAGGUUUGCUUUCAACUGAAUUACUACUGCCUCAAAGAAAAUUAAAAUGGACAGAACAACUUAAUUUAAAAGUCAGUGGUAAUUUUACUAAGUUUUCUUCCCCCUACCCCACCAUGAUUAUUCAUAAAGUUUUAAAUAAUUAAAGCAUUAUUGGGUAGACUGUAAACUGAGUGUCUGGUAAAGGUGAUACAUUUACCUUAGUUGUGACCUUUUCUGAAAUUUUUCAGAGUUUCUGCAAUACUGAAGUAUUAGUAAUAGUGAGCUAAUGAAAAAAAGUUUUUCUUUAAGGGUACUGCAAAGAUGUUUGGGAAGAUGGCUUGUGUUAAAGCCUUGUAGAAAAGUAAUUUUAAGCAUGUGAAACUGUGUCUAAAGAUUACUGCAGUGGUGUUGUGUCCCCCCCAACUUGUUAUUUUGACCAUAAAUUAAAGACUUGCAGCAAUAUAAGUAUUUUAAAUUUUUAGGCUCACUGAACUAGUUCUGUGUGUUGUCUUAUCAGUAUCUAAAAGUUGAUCUAGCUUCAGUAUUUUGCUUUCUUUGAAUGGCUUUGCCGUUUUGUUAUUUCAACUUCUAUUUCAGUUUUGCUGUUUUGAAAACUUGGAAACUGUGGAACAUGAAUAAGUCUGUGUAAUCUCGUGGCUGUGGCUUGGGGUUCUGUGACAUUGAGUCUCAGUGUGGCUGGGAUUGACUGAAUUAACUGAGCCACAUGUAAAGGAACCAAACUAACAGAAUAGAAUGAUCUUCUUCGUUCUUUUAGUUGCAUUAGUCUGUGUUUUGCUUGAAAACACUUGGUAAAUGGGAAGAAUUCAGGUGUGAGUGGUCAUUUUAUUAGAUUUUGUCUAUUAUAUGGCCAUAAACAUAUUAAUACGAGUACUUGCUUCUUAAAUCAUAGAAAAGUAAUGCUUGUCUUAUUUCAAGCUAUUAACUUUCAGUGCUAUGAGAUAUUUUUAUCUCUUGACAAGGGGUGCUCACUGAAAUCAAGGAAUUGCAUUCCCUCUGUGGGUGACAUCUUUAUCUGGACUCUUUUUCUACUGGACAUUUUGAAGAGUUUGCUUUUUAGCUUUAUAAAAUUAACUCUUUCUUUACAUCUUUCUGGUUGCUGGUAGGAUAAUUCUUUUUUUUCUUUUCACCAUGUUUGUACUUGGGAUGUGCAGUUCUGAUUUGUAUGCACAUGUAUUUGACACAGUGUCAAAUUCAGGCAUGUUAUACAGCUGUGCCCUUGUUCCCUAAGCAAAAUUCACACUUGGGUAAGGAGAAAAUGCCUAGAAUGCUAGUCCACUUUAAUUCCUUCUUUAGAUUUUUACUUGUAUAAUGCUGACAGUCUGUGAAGUGGUUUACUGACAACUAUGAAGAUGAGGUCCUUGCCCCAGAGAGUUUAUACUUUAAGCUUUGAUGUAAACAUAGGUUUUGUCCUGGAAUAACUGACAGCAACUGGGCUCUUUUACUGAUGUGUUUAUUCUGCUAGAAUCCUAAAAUGGGUACGUUUGCAUUGAGAAAUUGUCUUGAAUGGUGUAGGCUGCUCUGCUGUGUGGGGAAAAAAACCUGCUGAUGGAAAUUUCUAAGAGUAAGCAGAGUUUAAACUUGCAGCAAAACUUAAGUGGAAUUAAAUCUGUAAAAUGAUAUAGGGAAAUUUUCCUUUCAAAGUGUUAAAAGGUUGGUUGUAAAGUUUGAAGCUUAUUUUGUUGUGGCUGUACAUUUACAUGGAGAGAAAAUAAGGGAAAUGAAAUAAUCUUUAGUUCAAGUAGUUAUAAGGCUUUUGCAGCAGUUUGUGAUCAGUAGAACUGUUUCCAUUUUCAAAAACUCCAUAAAGCUUGUGUGCGGGUUUUGAAAAGUCUUUUUUACUAACAUACAAAUUUUGGAUAGCAAAAUAACAGCUUGAAACUAGCUUGUUUUGCUUUGUUCAAACUAAAUGAAUGACAGACUAAGGAAGAGCUCUAAUAAGCUGUGUUUUUAAAGCGGAAUAAAAAUGUAGAUGUAUAGGCUUUAAACA